UACGUAGGGGGCUAGCGUUGCUCGGAAUCACUGGGCGUAAAGGGUGCGUAGGCGGGUCUUUAAGUCAGGGGUGAAAUCCUGGAGCUCAACUCCAGAACUGCCUUUGAUACUGAAGAUCUUGAGUUCGGGAGAGGUGAGUGGAACUGCGAGUGUAGAGGUGAAAUUCGUAGAUAUUCGCAAGAACACCAGUGGCGAAGGCGGCUCACUGGCCCGAUACUGACGCUGAGGCACGAAAGCGUGGGAGCAAACAGGG
rnacentral:rRNA from 1 species